rnacentral:lncRNA from 1 species
CUGCGGAUUCUUGGCGGUGCCGGCGUGGUUGCCGGGGCCCUACCUACGGGUGAAGCCGGUGGAGGAGAUUCGGAUUGGGGGAAACCCCUUGGUUGGCCCAGGCCGGCCGUGCCGACGACGACGCUCAAGGGCGCCGUUAUUCUUUUUGGAGACGUCGGUAUACAUCUGCUCCUCUGCUCCCCUUCCUUGCCUCUCGGGUGAAAACCCUAACUCCGG